rnacentral:rRNA from 1 species
UCCAGACUCCUACGGGAGGCAGCAGUGGGGAAUUUUGCACAAUGGGGGAAACCCUGAUGCAGCGACGCCGCGUGAGUGAAGAAGUAUCUCGGUACGUAAAGCUCUAUCAGCAGGGAAGAAAAUGACGGUACCUGACUAAGAAGCCCCGGCUAACUACGUGCCAGCAGCCGCGGUAAUACGUAGGGGGCAAGCGUUAUCCGGAUUUACUGGGUGUAAAGGGAGCGUAGACGGCAGCGCAAGUCUGGAGUGAAAUGCCGGGGCCCAACCCCGGAACUGCUCUGGAAACUGUGAAGCUGGAGUGCAGGAGAGGUAAGCGGAAUUCCUGGUGUAGCGGUGAAAUGCGUAGAUAUCAGGAGGAACACCGGCGGCGAAGGCGGCUUACUGGACUGUAACUGACGUUGAGGCUCGAAGGCGUGGGGCGCAAACAGGAUUAGAUACCCCCGUAC